GAUGAAGAACGCAGCGAAAUGCGAUAAGUAAUGUGAAUUGCAGAAUUCAGUGAAUCAUCGAAUCUUUGAACGCACAUUGCGCCCCCCAGUAUUCUGGCGGGCAUGCCUGUUCGAGCGUCAUUUCAACCAUCAAGCCCUGCUUGUGUUGGGGUCCUGCGGCUGCCCGCUGGCCCUGAAAACCAGUGGCGGGCUCGCUAGUCACACCGAGCGCAGUAGCACAUCUCGCUCAGGGCGUGCGGCGGGCUCCAGCCGUUAAAGCACCCACCUUUCGCAAGGUUGACCUCGGAUCAGGUAGGAAUACCCGCUGAACUUAAGCAUAUCAAUAAGCGGAGGA
rnacentral:misc_RNA from 1 species